rnacentral:misc_RNA from 1 species
ACUGAAGAAGGGGAUUAUCAGGUCAAACUACGCAACCUGAUACGUUUCCUUGAGAAUGGGGAUCGCGGCAAGGUCACUAUCCGCUUCCGUGGUCGUGAGAUGGCACACCAGGAAAUUGGUAUGCAGCUCAUGAACCGGGUUGAGGAAGAUGUGUCCGAGCUUGCCCAGGUAGAACAGCGGCCGAAAAUGGAAGGCCGCCAGAUGACCAUGGUUGUGGCUCCCCGCAAGAAGAAGUGAACCUGAUUCAGUGACGGCUCCCCCGCCUGUGCGGGGGAUUUGUCGUUCAGGGUCACAUGUUGUUUUUAAAUAAUAGAAUGCGGAGUUUUAAAAAAUGUCCAA